AAUAAUACGUUGAUGAGGACAGUAAACUAAAACCUUAUUUUCAGAGAGAGAAUAUGUUGGUGGAAUUAUUCUUAAAUAAAUUUAGUUGAAAACCACCUCUGAGUGACUUUAAUACAGUCCGUUUAUUACCACGUUACGGUAAUUUAAAGUGAUCUAAUCUCCUACUUAGUUAUAUAUUAUAGUUAUAUUUAGUUUAAGUAAGUAAUUAGAUAAUUAGAGUGGAACCACGGAUAUUUCUUCGUCUCUAUA
rnacentral:ncRNA from 1 species